UACAGAGGUCCCGAGCGUUGUUCGGAUUCACUGGGCGUAAAGGGUGCGCAGGUGGCUUGGCAAGUUUGAUGUGAAAGCUCAGGGCUUAACCCUGAAAUGGCAUUGAAUACUGUUGAGCUGGAGGUUUGGAGGGGGGACUGGAAUUCCUGGUGUAGCGGUGAAAUGCGUAGAGAUCAGGAAGAACACCGGUGGCGAAAGCGCUUUGCUAGGCCGCAACUGACACUGAGGGACGAAAGCUAGGGGAGCGAAUGGG
rnacentral:rRNA from 1 species